rnacentral:tRNA from 1 species
AGGGGUGUAGCUCAGCAGUAGAGCACUUGCCUGGCAUGUGUGAGAGCCUGGGUUCAAUUCCCAGCACAACGA